rnacentral:rRNA from 1 species
CCCCGUAAGACUACCCGCUGAACUUAAGCAUAUCAAUAAGCGGAGGAAAAGAAACCAACAGGGAUUGCCUCAGUAACGGCGAGUGAAGCGGCAAAAGCUCAUCUUUAAAAGCUUCGGCAUUGUAACGGUGGCGGAGGGGGUGGAUCGCAAAAGUCCAUUGGAACAUGGCGCCAUCGAGGGUGACAGCCCCGUCAAGAUACGCCCCCACCCCUCCACCAAUAGAGUCGAGUUGUUUGGGAAUGCAACUCUAACAAGGUGGUAAACUCCAUCUAAGGCUAAAUAUCGACGAGAGACCGAUAGCGAACAAGUACAGUGAUGGAAAGAUGAAAAGCACUUUGAAAAGAGAGUGAAACAGUACGUGAAAUUGUUGGAAGGGAAGGGAUUGGGGAGGAAACCUCUUGCCCCGUGUUUGCGCGCAGUCAAAAGCUGCGUGGGCCCCGCCUCGGCUACGCCCGCGCCCCGCCCGCACGCACGCAGACACGCCGCGAGCUAGUCCCCCCAAUCCGC